rnacentral:rRNA from 1 species
GCCUAACACAUGCAAGUCGAACGGAACUUAUUGGAUCAAGACUUCGGUCAAGUAAAUUUAAGUUUGGUGGCGAACGGGUGAGUAACGCGUGAGCAACCUGCCUUUCAGAGGGGGACAACAGUUGGAAACGACUGCUAAUACCGCAUAACACAGGAUGGGGGCAUCCCCGACCUGUCAAAGAUUUAUCGCUGAAAGAUGGGCUCGCGUCUGAUUAGAUAGUUGGUGGGGUAACGGCCUACCAAGUCGACGAUCAGUAGCCGGACUGAGAGGUUGAACGGCCACAUUGGGACUGAGGUACGGCCCAGACUCCUACGGGAGGCAGCAGUGGGGAAUAUUGGGCAAUGGGGGAAACCCUGACCCAGCGACGCCGCGUGAAGGAAGAAGGCUUUCGGGUUGUAAACUUCUUUUACCGGGGACGAAGACGUGACGGUACCUGGAGAAAAAGCCACGGCUAACUACGUGCCAGCCGCCGCGGUAAAAC